UGCGAAACUCGAAUGAACGAACGGGGAGAUUCAUCGUUAUUCCUCGGCGCACCGGCACAGGUUGGGAUGUUAGCGGCUCCGGCCGCGGACACCGCCCGCGUCGGUCGCGCUCCGGGGACGGCGUGCACUUCUCCCUCAGUAAUACAUCGCGACCCGUUCGAUGUCGGUCUAAGUGUCCACCGGGAGUCUGUUCGCCGCGCUUUAAAACCGCGGCGGUCUCAGACCGGGGGGUCGCACCGACCGGCCGUCGGACGGUAGAUCAAACGAAACGCUCACGCGCUCGCGCGCGUCCGGCCCGACGCAAGGCGCCGUCGUAUCCCGCGUCCUGCCACCGUGCGGACGAGGGUGCGACGCGCCUGACGUCGCCGCCGUGCCGUCUCGGACUGUGUGCGUAUCCGUCUGCGAUGAUUCAGUUUCGGGCA
rnacentral:rRNA from 1 species